rnacentral:rRNA from 1 species
AUCGGAUUGAGAUUUAACCAUGCGAGUCGAACGUCCUCCUGUUGCGGGGGGCGUGGCGUACGGCUCAGUAACACGUAGUCAACCUGCCCUGGAGACACGGACAACCCCGGGAAACUGGGAUUAAUCCGUGAUAGGUCACCUCAUCUGGAAGGAGAGAUGGCUCAAAGGGGUCCAUGAGCUUCUUUCGUGGAUUCGCUCCAGGAUGGGACUGCGUCCGAUCAGGCUGUUGGCGGGGUAAUGGCCCACCAAACCUGUAACCGGUACGGGCCUUGAGAGAGGGGGCCCGGAGAUGGACACUGAGAAAAGGGUCCAGGUCCUACGGGGCGCAGCAGGCGCGAAACCUUCGCAAUGCGCGAAAGCGUGACGAGGUUAAUCCGAGUGGUCCCCGCUGAGGGGACCUUUCGUCAGCUGUAAAUAGGCAGGCGAAUAAGGGGAGGGCAAGCCUGGUGU